rnacentral:tRNA from 1 species
GGGGUUGUGACUCAGUGGUAGAGUGCUCGCCUAGCACGUGUGAGGCCAUGUGUUCAAUCCUCAGCACCA